rnacentral:rRNA from 1 species
GACGAACGCUGGCGGCGUGCUUAACACAUGCAAGUCGAACGGAAAGGCCCUGCUUUUGUGGGGUGCUCGAGUGGCGAACGGGUGAGUAACACGUGAGUAACCUGCCCUUGACUUUGGGAUAACUUCAGGAAACUGGUGCUAAUACCGGAUAGGAGCUCCUGCUGCAUGGUGUGGGUUGGAAAGUUUCGGCGGUUGGGGAUGGACUCGCGGCUUAUCAGCUUGUUGGUGGGGUAGUGGCUUACCAAGGCUUUGACGGGUAGCCGGCCUGAGAGGGUGACCGGCCACAUUGGGACUGAGAUACGGCCCAGACUCCUACGGGAGGCAGCAGUGGGGAAUAUUGCACAAUGGGCGGAAGCCUGAUGCAGCAACGCCGCGUGCGGGAUGACGGCCUUCGGGUUGUAAACCGCUUUCGCCUGUGACGAAGCGUGAGUGACGGUAAUGGGUAAAGAAGCACCGGCUAACUACGUG